UACGUAGGGGGCAAGCGUUGUCCGGAUUUAUUGGGCGUAAAGCGCGUUCAGGCGGUUUGGCAAGUCGGGCAUGAAAUCUCUCGGCUCAACCGGGAGAGGUUGUCCGAUACUGCUGGACUUGAGGGCAGUAGAGGGUGGUGGAAUUCCGGGUGUAGUGGUGAAAUGCGUAGAUAUCCGGAGGAACACCAGUGGCGAAAGCGGCCACCUGGACUGCACCUGACGCUGACACGCGAAAGCUAGGGGAGCGAACGGG
rnacentral:rRNA from 1 species